rnacentral:misc_RNA from 1 species
CAACCCUCGACACCCCUUCGGGGGAGUCGGCGUUGGGGACCGGCAGCAUACCGCCGGCCCCGAAAUACAGUGGCGGCCCGUCCGCGGCGACCUCUGCGUAGUACUCCAACGCGCACCGGGAACCCGACGCGGCCACGCCGUAAAACACCCAACUUCUGAA